UACAGAGGGUGCGAGCGUUGUCCGGAAUCACUGGGCGUAAAGGGCGCGUAGGUGGCUGGGUAAGCGUGCGGUGAAAGCCUGGGGCUCAACUCCAGGUCGGCCGUGCGUACUGCCUAGCUUGAGCACGGUAGAGGCCGAUGGAAUUCCGGGUGCAGCGGUGGAAUGCGUAGAGAUCCGGAAGAACACCGGUGGCGAAGGCGGUCGGCUGGGCUGUUGCUGACGCUGAGGCGCGACAGCGUGGGGAGCAAACAGG
rnacentral:rRNA from 1 species